rnacentral:sRNA from 1 species
ACAAAAUUACUUUAUCAAAAACAAAUUAGCUAGAAAAAAAAUUACAUCUUAUGUUUUCUUAUAUAGAUAAAGAGAGGCCUGUCCAGUCUUUGAAAACAUCAAGAGAUACUUCACCCUCAAGUGGUUCAGCAGUUUCUUCAUCAAAGGUGUUAGACAAACCCAGUAGGCUAACUGAAAAGGAACUUGCUGAGGCUGCAAGCAAGUGGGCUGCUGAAAAGCUAGAGAAAUCAGAUGAAAGUAACUUGCCUGAAAUUUCUGAGUAUGAGGCGGGAUCCACAGCACCAUUGUUUACUGACCAGCCAGAGGAACCUGAGUCAAACACAACACAUGGGAUAGAAUUAUUUGAAGAUAGUCAGCUAACCACUCGCUCUAAAGCAAUAGCAUCAAAAACCAAAGAGAUUGAACAGGUGAGAAUCUAGUUGUCUUCAUGUACAUAAUUUUUGUUUGUGUUGCUUUGCACAUGUAAACAUUUAUUGAAUAAAUAUGCUUCAUUUCUUUUUCCACCUGUAACUCUAAAACUACAACUUAAAAAAUUAUAAAAAUUGUUUGAGUUGACUUCACAGUCCGUUUGAUCAGUAUGGUCCCCCACCUGGAUUGUUUAUUUUUAAAUAAAAAACAGACUUCUUUUUUACAGAAUAUUAAUAUUCUAGUUAGUAUGAAGCAAUUAAAAAUUAUUAAAGUUAAUAGGGAUGGGAUGGAAGAAAUGUUCAAUGUAGCAAAAUGUUAGCAAAUGUUAUUUUUGAAUAUUGGGAUUACAGAUGUUUGUUAUGUUUUUUCAUUAUACUUUAAGGUAGUUUCCAAAUAUUAAAGGAAAAAUAAAGGAUACUAUUUAAGUCUAGUUUUUUAGUGAAGUCAUUCUGAAAAGCAGGACUUUGUUUUUAAUGUGCAACUAUUAUAGGGUUAUUAUCAUUUUAUGAGGAUUAAAUGAAGUAAAUGUGAAAGGGUUUUAUAAAAUGUAACAUUUUGUACAGGUGCUUAUUGAUGUUGUUACUCUCUAGUGCGUUGAAUAAAUGUAAUUACAUUGAUAAUAAUAUUCUAAAAACUAUCGGAAAUUAAGAACAAAGUGAAAACUUUUCUCUAGGUGCUGUCCGAUUUCUACAUCAAUUAAAUCCGUUUCCUUUUGUUGGAUAGGGGAUGGUCUCAAAUCCUAGAUGUGACCGUGUAGCUUAUGUUAAUGUCACACUAAUGUGAAAAGAUAAGAACCAGAAUAGGAAAUUUGUCAUGCAAACCAUUGGAGUUUCAAAAUGAAGGUGGUGAGCAGUAUCAGAUGCUUAGAGGAAUAUAAGGAAAAUGGAGACUGAGAAAAUUCUGUUUAAUUUGGUGAUUGGGAGGCAGUUGGUACCUUUCAAGAUACCAAUUAAAUGAGAGCAUAAGUAAAAGGUUUGCUCAGUAUAUCUAUCUUUAACACAAAGAUGAAUGUCUUUAUUUUAUAUAAAAUUACUGUCCUUUUUUUUCUUGACAUAUGUUUUUAUUUCCUUUUCUCCCCUUACCAUAAUGGAUGCUCUGUGAAAACAAGCGCUUUGUUUUAUCUUGUUUUAUUUACUGCUACAUCUGCCAUCACCAAGAACAGUAUGUGUAGUAGGCUUACAAGAAA